CUCCAGUUAGCCUAGUGGUUAAGGCUAUGGAUUUCCAAUCCGGAGACGUCGGGUUCGAUUCCCUUUCUGGUCG
rnacentral:tRNA from 1 species